rnacentral:rRNA from 1 species
GUGGGGAAUCUUGCGCAAUGGGCGAAAGCCUGACGCAGCCAUGCCGCGUGAAUGAUGAAGGUCUUAGGAUUGUAAAAUUCUUUCACCGGGGACGAUAAUGACGGUACCCGGAGAAGAAGCCCCGGCUAACUUCGUGCCAGCAGCCGCGGUAAUACGAAGGGGGCUAGCGUUGCUCGGAAUUACUGGGCGUAAAGGGAGCGUAGGCGGACAUUUAAGUCAGGGGUGAAAUCCCGGGGCUCAACCUCGGAAUUGCCUUUGAUACUGGGUGUCUUGAGUGUGAGAGAGGUAUGUGGAACUCCGAGUGUAGAGGUGAAAUUCGUAGAUAUUCGGAAGAACACCAGUGGCGAAGGCGACAUACUGGCUCAUUACUGACGCUGAGGCUCGAAAGCGUGGGGAGCAAACAGGAUUAGAUAACCUGGUAGUCC